rnacentral:tRNA from 1 species
UCAUCUGUAGCUCAACGGUUAGAGCAUCUGCCUUAUACGCAGCAGGUUACCGGUUCAAAUCCGGUCAGGUCAA